CCUACGGGGGGCUGCAGUGGGGAAUAUUGGACAAUGGGGGCAACCCUGAUCCAGCCAUGCCGCGUGUGUGAAGAAGGCCCUCGGGUUGUAAAGCACUUUCAGUGAGGAAGAACGCCUGGUGGUUAAUACCCAUCAGGAAAGACAUCACUCACAGAAGAAGCACCGGCUAACUCCGUGCUAGCAGCCGCGGUAAUACGGAGGGUGCGAGCGUUAAUCGGAAUUACUGGGCGUAAAGCGCGCGUAGGUGGCUUGAUAAGCCGGUUGUGAAAGCCCCGGGCUCAACCUGGGAACGGCAUCCGGAACUGUCAAGCUAGAGUGCAGGAGAGGAAGGUAGAAUUCCCGGUGUAGCGGUGAAAUGCGUAGAGAUCGGGAGGAAUACCAGUGGCGAAGGCGGCCUUCUGGACUGACACUGACACUGAGGUGCGAAAGCGUGGGUAGCAAACAGGAUUAGAUACCCUAGUAGUC
rnacentral:rRNA from 1 species